UCUCUUCCUCUUCACCGCGUCCUCCAACCGCCGCCACCCUCCCCCUUCCUCUCUUCUUUUCUUUUCUUUUCUCUUCCGUUCGACGCCAACAUAUAGCCGCCACCAGUUUUCUUUUUCCGUUCGACGAAGCCGGCAGUCGUGUACGGUCCAGAUCUGCGUCGCCGUGCUGUCCAAGUCCUUGUCGCCGCUCGAGCUUCGCCCUUGCGGUUCGCCGAAGCCAACAUUCUGCCGGUGUCUAAUCUUUUCUCUUCGUUCCGUCGCCGCUGCAUCAUUCGUCCGUCUGGGUUGCACAGCCGAGCCGCGACUCCUUCGUGCACAUAGUCCUACAGCCGAGCCGUUCGCUCCCCACAAAAACCACUCGUGAGACGUGCGCCGUUUGUCCAAGCCGGCUUGUACUCCACGUUGUUGCACUAUCUUCGUUUAGGUGUUGAAGGUAGCAUUGGGUCACUUGAAUUCACAACCAAUUUGUGAAUUUUGGAGUUCGGCUUGCCAAUACUUGGUAAGCUAGAAUCUACUUUGAGGAGAAAUUUAGUGGAAGUGUGCCAUGAAAGUAAUUGAGUUUCAUAUUUUAUGUUUAGGUGUACCGUGAAGUGUGUACCGAGACUAGUAGUGGGUCUCUUACUAAGUAUGUUUAUGUUUAAUUUUUGGUAACAAAGGUGACAAACCGGCGAAACAAAGGUGACAAACCGGCGAGAGGCAGGAAGAAAGUGUGAUUGUCAUAGGGAACAUCUUUAUUUUGCUUCCACUCUAUGUUUUUUAUGUGUAAAACAUUAUGUUGGAACUUAGUUCACAAACUAUUACUUUGGUAACAGUACUUUUAAAGUUUUAGUUGUUUAAAA